rnacentral:rRNA from 1 species
CUAGCAAAGCCAAGUAAAUCUAAUUUUUAAGAAUUAUUCAAUAAAGGUACAGCUUUAUUGAAAAAGGAAACAACCUAAACCUUAGGAUAAUGAAUAUUUUUAAAUAGGUAAAAGGCCAAGUUGGCCUAAAAGCAGCCAUCUUUAAAGAUAGCGUCAAAGCUUCACCUUAAACACACCUUAAAUCUCAUUAUUUUUUCAUAAUCCAACAAUUCUACUAAGCCAUUCUAUACUUUUAUAGAAAAGUUUAUGUUAGGACUAGUAACACAGAAUAAUUUCUCUUACAUGUAAGUUUAAAUCAACCCGAAUACCUCCUUGAUAAUUACUCAAAUUUGAACCUUAAGUAGUACCUAUUAAUUACAAAAACCCUACUUAACUUAUUGUUAAUCAAACAUAUGGAUAUGAAAGAAAGAUUAAAAAAUUAAGAAGGAACUCGGCAAACACAAGUCCCGCCUGUUUACCAAAAACAUCGCCUUUUGAAAAGUAUAAAAGGUAACGCCUGCCCACUGACAGUAUGUUUAACGGCCGCGGUAUUCUGACCGUGCGAAGGUAGCGUAAUCACUUGUCUUUUAAAUGAAGACUCGUAUGAAAGGCAUCACGAGAACUUAGCUGUCUCCUUAAUUCAAUCAGUGAAACUGAUACCCCUGUAAAAAAGCAGGGAUGAUUACAUAAGACGAGAAGACCCUGUGGAGCUUAAAACAUAAGCUACUUCUAUACUCUACUAACUUAUAGUACUAAAAUACAAACCUAGCCUAAGUUUUCUGUUGGGGCGGCUGUGGAGAAAAACUUAUCCUCCAUGAAGAAAAAACUUUGAUCUACCGCUCUUAGUAUUAGCAAGCCUAACUUAAAUUGAUCCAAUUUUUGAUCAACGGACCAAGUUACCCCAGGGAUAACAGCGCAAUCCGUUUCAAGAGUCCCUAUCGACAAAUGGGUUUACGACCUCGAUGUUGGAUUAGGACAUCCUAGUGGUGUAGCCGCUAC